GACGAACGCUGGCGGCGUGCCUAACACAUGCAAGUCGAACGAGAAUCUUUGGAAUGAUUCUUUCGGGAUGAAUUCCAAAGAGGAAAGUGGCGGACGGGCGAGUAACGCGUGAGUAACCUGCCCAUAAGAGGGGGAUAAUCCAUGGAAACGUGGACUAAUACCGCAUAUUGUAGUUAAGUUGCAUGACUUGAUUAUGAAAGAUUUAUCGCUUAUGGAUGGACUCGCGUCAGAUUAGAUAGUUGGUGAGGUAACGGCUCACCAAGUCAACGAUCUGUAGCCGAACUGAGAGGUUGAUCGGCCGCAUUGGGACUGAGACACGGCCCAGACUCCUACGGGAGGCAGCAGUGGGGAAUAUUGCGCAAUGGGGGCAACCCUGACGCAGCAACGCCGCGUGCAGGAAGAAGGUCUUCGGAUUGUAAACUGUUGUCGCAAGGGAAGAAGACAGUGACGGUACCUUGUGAGAAAGUCACGGCUAACUACGUGCCAGCA
rnacentral:rRNA from 1 species